rnacentral:lncRNA from 1 species
AUUUCAACCUUCUUAAAUCUCUCAUAGUAGUAUCACACAUUCUUCUCAUCUUCUUUUCCAUGUAGGUCUCUCCUAUUCUACUCUAAUAAGUCCUCUAUUAUAUUCUUUCUUUUUUAUCUUUUAUGUUACUAUUUUCUCUUCCAAUUACGUUUUUAUUGCACUUUUCUUCUCAAUCUCGCAUCUCUUAUGUUCUUUUUUCAUCUUCUCUAAUCUCUCAUCUCAUAUGUUUU